GGACUACACGGGUAUCUAAUCCCGUUUGCUCCCCUAGCUUUCGCACCUCAGCGUCAGUUGUGGACCAGAGAACCGCCUUCGCCACCGGUGUUCCUCCUGAUAUCUACGCAUUUCACCGCUCCACCAGGAGUUCCGUUCUCCCCUACCACACUCGAGCAUCGCAGUCUGCCGGGCAGUUCCACGGGUGAGCCGUGGGAUUUCACCCGACACUUACGAUGCCGCCUACGUGCGCUUUAAGCCCAGUGAUUCCGAACAACGUUCGCACUCUCUGUAUUACCGCGGCUGCUGGCAC
rnacentral:rRNA from 2 species